GAUCUAAAACUGCAUUUUUGUGCCCUCUCAUAACCAUGAAGUUUUUGCAUUCCCCAUGCAUGUACCACAGAAAAAUUUCCUUGUCAUGAGAUCCCGAUGCAAUGACAUUUCCAGCUGGAUUGAACUUCAUAGUAUAUAUAGCACUCUGGUGACCAGUAAGCAACAUGAUAGGUGAUUCCAAGCUAGAUCUACGCUGCUUACCAUUAUGUCCAGGUCCUUGUGACCCUGUAUAUGGAACAGUAGACCACUCCAUUGGCCUUGGACCGGAGACAGACAAAGCACUUUCACUCUCCCUAGGCACAACUUGCAUCUUGACUUCU
rnacentral:lncRNA from 1 species